rnacentral:rRNA from 1 species
AACGAACGCUGGCGGCAGGCCUAACACAUGCAAGUCGAGCGCACCUUCGGGUGAGCGGCGGACGGGUUAGUAACGCGUGGGAACGUACCCUUUUCUACGGAAUAGCCUUUGGAAACGAAGAGUAAUACCGUAUACGCCCUUUGGGGGAAAGAUUUAUCGGAGAAGGAUCGGCCCGCGUUAGAUUAGAUAGUUGGUGGGGUAACGGCCUACCAAGUCUACGAUCUAUAGCUGGUUUUAGAGGAUGAUCAGCAACACUGGGACUGAGACACGGCCCAGACUCCUACGGGAGGCAGCAGUGGGGAAUCUUAGACAAUGGGCGCAAGCCUGAUCUAGCCAUGCCGCGUGAGUGAUGAAGGCCUUAGGGUCGUAAAGCUCUUUCGCCUGUGAUGAUAAUGACAGUAGCAGGUAAAGAAACCCCGGCUAACUCCGUGCCAGCAGCCGCGGUAAUACGGAGGGGGUUAGCGUUGUUCGGAAUUACUGGGCGUAAAGCGCACGUAGGCGGAUUGGAAAGUUGGGGGUGAAAUCCCGGGGCUCAACCCCGGAACUGCCUCCAAAACUAUCAGUCUAGAGUUCGAGAGAGGUGAGUGGAAUUCCAAGUGUAGAGGUGAAAUUCGUAGAUAUUUGGAGGAACACCAGUGGCGAAGGCGGCUCACUGGCUCGAUACCUGA